GAUGAACGCUGGCGGCGUGCCUAAUACAUGCAAGUCGAGCGAACAGACGAGGAGCUUGCUCCUCUGACGUUAGCGGCGGACGGGUGAGUAACACGUGGAUAACCUACCUAUAAGACUGGGAUAACUUCGGGAAACCGGAGCUAAUACCGGAUAAUAUAUUGAACCGCAUGGUUCAAUAGUGAAAGACGGUUUUGCUGUCACUUAUAGAUGGAUCCGAGCCGCAUUAGCUAGUUGGUAAGGUAACGGCUUACCAAGGCAACGAUGCGUAGCCGACCGGAGAGGGUGAUCGGCCACACUGGAACUGAGACACGGUCCAGACUCCUACGGGAGGCAGCAGUAGGGAAUCUGCCGCAAUGGGCGAAAACCUGACGGAGCAACGCCGCGUGAGUGAUGAAGGUCUUCGGAUCGUAAAACUCUGUUAUUAGGGAAGAACAAAUGUGUAAGUAACUAUGCACGUCUUGACGGUACCUAAUCAGAAAGCCACGGCUAACUACGUG
rnacentral:rRNA from 1 species